rnacentral:rRNA from 1 species
GAUGAACGCUGGCGGCGUGCUUAACACAUGCAAGUCGAACGGAAAGGCUCCUGCUUGCAGGGGUACUCGAGUGGCGAACGGGUGAGUAACACGUGGGUGAUCUGCCCUGCACUUCGGGAUAAGCCUGGGAAACUGGGUCUAAUACCGGAUAGGACGAUGGAUGGGAUGCCAUUGUGGAAAGUUUUUCGGUGUGGGAUGAGCUCGCGGCCUAUCAGCUUGUUGGUGGGGUAAUGGCCUACCAAGGCGGCGGCGGGUAGGCGGCCUGAGAGGGUGUACGGCCACAAUAGGACUGAGAGACGGCCCAGACUCCUACGGGGGGCAGCAGUGGGGAAUAUUGCACAAUGAGCGCAAGCCUGAGGCAGCGGCGCCGCGUGGGGGAUGACGGCCUUCGGGUUGUAAACUCCUUUCGCUAGAGACGAAGCGCAAGUGACGGUACCUUGAGAAGAAGCACCGGCUAACUACGUG